rfam:Gossypium raimondii Chr11_contig_912, whole genome shotgun sequence.
AUCCCAUAAUGUGGAAACUUAAAAAGAAAUUCUUUGAAUCUUUUCCACGCCUCAUAUAAAGACUCGUCAUCCAAUUACUGGAAAGUGGUUAUCUCAUUUCUCAACUU